UACGGAGGAUGCGAGCGUUAUCCGGAUUUAUUGGGUUUAAAGGGUGCGUAGGCGGACUGUCAAGUCAGCGGUAAAAUUGAGAGGCUCAACCUCUUCCCGCCGUUGAAACUGGUGGUCUUGAGUGGAUGAGAAGUACGCGGAAUGCGUGGUGUAGCGGUGAAAUGCAUAGAUAUCACGCAGAACUCCGAUUGCGAAGGCAGCGUACCGGCAUCCAACUGACACUGAGGCUCGAAAGCGUAGGGAGCAAACAGG
rnacentral:rRNA from 1 species